ensembl:lncRNA
AUCUGCCUGUCGCUGACCCGGACGUGGUGAGCCGUCCAGGAUCUCUAGAUGGAGUGACACAGUCGCAGGCGACCCUCUAAAUGGAAGAGGGUGCUGGGGAGUUAGGGAACUGGGCCUUGUGCUGCUGGCCCUGGAGGUGGAGGAAGUGGACAGGAGCCCGGGAGUGCAGGUGACUGCGGGGCGUGGGACGCCCAGAGCAGGCCCCCAGGCUCCGAGGGACACUGUGCUUCGAGCUCCGUGAGACUGGUUUCAGACCUCUGACUGCCCCAAUUGUAAGUCAAGUUUCUGUUUUGUUUUGUUUUCCAGGACGGGAUUGAACCCUGGGCUGUGGCACUGGGCAACACCCCCAGCCCUCUUCAUUUUUCAUUUCAAGACAGGUCUCACGAAGUCACUGGGUUGCCCAGGCAGGGCAAGAACUUGUGCUCCUCCUGCCUCAGCCUCCCAGAGAGCUGAGCAACCCAUCACGGCCUCGAGCUGAACCCCGCUGCCGUGGGCCGCGCCUCAGUGUCCACAUCUCCCCAAGACCUGUGACACAGCCAGGCACCCGGUGCUGUCCCACGGAUGUGUGUAAUCACACACGACACUGUGUGAGGUAUGGGGACCCUUGGCUUACGAACUCAAUCUGUUCCGAGGGCUAGUUGUAACUCAGGUUGAUCGGGUGAGGCUCAGGCUCCUACACGGACCUCAAAGUCUCUCUCCUAUACACAGGCAGAUCUCAGUGUCCUUGGAGACACUGGCCCAGGAUUUCUCAAUGAACCCCACACAGGAGAAGAUGCUGUC